CGGGGGAUAACAUCCGAAAGGAGUGCUAAUACCGCAUAAGACCACGAUCUCGAAAGAGAACGAGGUAAAAGCUGGCCUCUAUACAUAAGCUAGCACUUGAGGAUGGGCCCGCGGCGCAUCACGGUAGUUGGUGAGGUAAUGGCUCACCAAGCCUAAGACGCGUAGCUGGUCUGAGAGGAUGAUCAGCCACACUGGAACUGAGACACGGUCCAGACUCCUACGGGAGGCAGCAGUGGGGAAUCUUGCGCAAUGGGCGAAAGCCUGACGCAGCGACGCCGCGUGAGUGAUGAAGGCCUUCGGGUUGUAAAGCUCUGUGGGGCGAGACGAAUAGGUGCAGCCUAAUACGUUGCAUGAUGACGGUAUCGCCUUAGCAAGCCACCGGCUAACUCUGUGCCAGCAGCCGCGGUAAGACAGAGGGUGCAAACGUUGUUCGGAAUUACUGGGCGUAAAGCGAGUGUAGGCGGUCUCUUAAGUCGGGUGUGAAAGCCCCGGGCUCAACCCGGGAAGUGCACUCGAAACUGCGAGGCUAGAGUAUCGGAGAGGUUGGUGGAAUUCUCGGUGUAGAGGUGAAAUUCGUAGAUAUCGAGAGGAACACCGGUGGCGAAGGCGGCCAACUGGACGAAUACUGACGCUGAGACUCGAAAGCGUGGG
rnacentral:rRNA from 1 species